GAAUAGCUCAGUUGGUAGGGCACAAGACUCUUAAUCUCGAGGUUAUGUGUUUGAGCCCCACAUGGGGCA